rnacentral:rRNA from 1 species
GAGCAACCUGCCCCUGGCUCUGGGACAACCACUGGAAACGGUGGCUAAUACCGGAUACGACCCGCCUCGGCAUCGAGUGUGGGUGGAAAGUUUUUCGGCUGGGGAUGGGCUCGCGGCCUAUCAGCUUGUUGGUGGGGUGAUGGCCUACCAAGGCGACGACGGGUAGCCGGCCUGAGAGGGCGACCGGCCACACUGGGACUGAGACACGGCCCAGACUCCUACGGGAGGCAGCAGUGGGGAAUAUUGCACAAUGGGCGAAAGCCUGAUGCAGCGACGCCGCGUGAGGGAUGACGGCCUUCGGGUUGUAAACCUCUUUCAGCUCCGAAGAAGCGCAAGUGACGGUAGGAGCAGAAGAAGCACCGGCUAACUACGUGCCAGCAGCCGCGGUAAUACGUAGGGUGCAAGCGUUGUCCGGAAUUAUUGGGCGUAAAGAGCUCGUAGGCGGUGUGUCGCGUCUGCUGUGAAAACUCAGGGCUCAACUCUGAGCUUGCAGUGGGUACGGGCACACUUGAGUGCUGUAGGGGAGACUGGAAUUCCUGGU